GGCGCAAGCCUGAUGCAGCCAUGCCGCGUGUAUGAAGAAGGCCUUCGGGUUGUAAAGUACUUUCAGCGGGGAGGAAGGGAGUGUGGUUAAUAACCUCGCUCAUUGACGUUACCCGCAGAAGAAGCACCGGCUAACUCCGUG
rnacentral:rRNA from 1 species